UCUUCUCAUUUCCUUCGCACCAGAUAUCCACAUAUACAGCUAUGGCCACAUGCCUCCUCAUUCCCACCACCUACGCUCCAAAAUGCCAUCAAUCUCCCACCCCGAAAAUCACCUGCUCGUCCCUCACGGCCCAGUCCCAGGCCGUCAAGCGCCACCUCCUCAGCCUCAUCUCGGACCAGGACCGAGGCAUCAAGACCCAGAAAGACCCUGCGAGACGCGCUUCGAUCGUCGAAGCCAUCGACGCCAUGGCCGUUCUCGGCCGUGAUACAGUCACCACUGGCGCGUCCCUCUCGGCCACGUGGCGGCUGCUCUGGACCACGGAGAAGGAGCAGCUCUUCAUCGUCGAGAAUGCACGGUUGUUUGGUACUCAGGCCGGUGACGUCUUGCAGGUGAUCGACGUCGAGAAAAUGACUCUAAACAAUGUGAUCACUUUCCCUCCCGACGGGGUUUUCUUUGUUCGCUCCGGUAUCGAAAUCGCUUCGCCGCAGAGAGUGAAUUUUAGAUUUACAGGCGCGGUUCUAAGGGGGAAAAACUGGGAGAUCCCACUACCGCCGUUCGGGCAAGGUUUGAAUCUAUAUACCUCGAUGAUGACAUUAGAGUAGCAAAGGAUAUCCGUGGAGACUAUUUAGUUGUUGAUCAUGCUCCUUAUAGUUGGAAAGAGUGAGGACGGAAGUGCAAUGUCUUGGUAUUUUAAAAUUCUUGCGCAGCAACUUUUGGUUACUCCAGUACUAUUGCCUUCACAUUUAUCGGACAAGUUUGUUUCAUGUCCAGAUUUCUUUCUUGCUUUCAGACUAUAUUCUCUAAAUCCUCAUUUCUGCCUUACUGUCAGGGUCUCUUUCAGAGGGAACUUCUGACUCAUGGAAAUCUGCUCCAUCCACAUGAUGGCUUGCAUCACUAUAGCAGGAGCAAAGCAUGAUGUAAGCAGAGGUUUGAGAGGGAUAUGGGAUUAAGACACUGAUUAAAAUGAAGAGCAGGCUAUAUGAUUAGGCACUAAGCCAAUGGCUUGAGACAUGGCAUGUUGGCUGGGAUUUGCUAUUCUCAUUUAUGAUCUUCUGCUUGUCGUUUAGCUUAUUUUGUUUGGUUUCUUAGGUUGGAGGCUCGACUUUCUGCACAUAUUUAUUACCACUUGUAUAUUUAUCUGGAAAUUUCCUGUUAAAAUCACCCUUUGACUGAUUAAAUUAAUACCCUUAUUCC